GACGAACGCUGGCGGCAUGCUUAACACAUGCAAGUCGAACGAAGUGGCGAACGGGUGAGUAACGCGUAGUCAACCUGCCCUUCAGAGGGGGACAACAGUGGAAACCGAGUGCUAAUACCGCAUACUGAAGGCGGGGAAUGCGUCUGAGUAGCUAGGUGGAGGGGUAACGGCCCACAAAGGCGAUGAUCAGUAGCCGGGCUGAGAGGAUGAACGGCUACAAUGGGACGGAGACACGGCCCAGACCCCUACGGUAGGCAGCAGUGGGGAAUCUUCCGCAAUGGACGAAAGUCUGACGGAGCAACGCCGCGUGAGUGAGGACGGCCUUCGGGUUGUAAAGCUCUGUUAACCGGGACGCGGUACCGGAAGAGAAAGCCACGGCUAACUACGUGCCAGCAGCCGCGGUAAUAC
rnacentral:rRNA from 1 species